GAUAAACGCUGGCGGCGUGCCUAACACAUGCAAGUCGAACGUCCUCUCUCGCAAGAGAGAGGGAGUGGCGGACGGGUGAGUAACACAUGGGUCACCUACCCUUAAGUGAGGAAUACCGGCGAGAAAUCGCCGACAAGACCGCAUAGGCUCUCUCUUUUGCAAGAGAGAGCAAAGCUUCGCAAGAGGCGCUUGAGGAUGGGCCUGUGGCCGAUUAGCUGGUUGGAGGGUAAUGGCUUACCAAGGCGACGAUCGGUAGCUGGUCUGAGAGGACGAUCAGCCACACUGGGAUUGAGAACGGCCCAGACUCCUACGGGGGCAGCAGUGAGGAAUUUCCGUCAAUGGGGGCGAACCCUGACGGAGCAACGCCGCGUGCAGGAAGACGCUUUUCGGAGUGUAAACU
rnacentral:rRNA from 1 species